rnacentral:snRNA from 1 species
AUCGCUUCUCGGCCUUUUGGCUAAGAUCAAGUGUAGAAAUCUAGAAAUUCACUAAAUGCUUAGAAUAAUCCAAGGAGCAUUUAUCAAGAAAAAAAGGUGAAUCUUGGUAAGAACAGUAGUAAGUUUUGAGGCACUUUCACUUACCCUACUCCCAGUCUC